rnacentral:rRNA from 1 species
UACAGAGGGUGCGAGCGUUGAUCGGAAUUACUGGGCGUAAAGCGCGCGUAGGUGGUUUAUAAGUCGGGUGUGAAAGCCCCGGGCUCAACCUGGGAACUGCAUUCGAGACUGUAAGACUAGAGUAUGGGAGAGGGGUGUGGAAUUCCCGGUGUAGUGGUGGAAUGCGUAGAUAUCGGGAGGAACAUCAGUGGCGAAAGCGGCACCCUGGCAUUAGCCUGACGCUCAGGUGCGAAAGCGUGGGGAGCGAACGGG